rnacentral:rRNA from 2 species
AGUCAUAUGCUUGUCUCAAAGAUUAAGCCAUGCAUGUCUCAGUACAAGCCAAAUUAAGGUGAAACCGCGAAAGGCUCAUUAAAUCAGUUAUGGUUCCUUAGAUCGUACCCACACUUACUUGGAUAACUGUGGUAAUUCUAGAGCUAAUACAUGCAAACAGAGCUCUGACCGGAGACGGAAGGAGCGCUUUUAUUAGAUCAAAACCAAUCGGCGGCGGGCUUGCUCGUCGUCGUUCAACCUGGUGAAUCUGAAUAACUUUGUGCUGAUCGCACGGUCUAGCACCGGCGACGCAUCUUUCAAAUGUCUGCCUUAUCAACUGUCGAUGGUAGGUUCUGCGCCUACCAUGGUUGUAACGGGUAACGGGGAAUCAGGGUUCGAUUCCGGAGAGGGAGCCUGAGAAACGGCUACCACAUCCAAGGAAGGCAGCAGGCGCGCAAAUUACCCACUCCCGGCACGGGGAGGUAGUGACGAAAAAUAACGAUACGGGACUCAUCCGAGGCCCCGUAAUCGGAAUGAGUACACUCUAAAUCCUUUAACGAGGAUCAAUUGGAGGGCAAGUCUGGUGCCAGCAGCCGCGGUAAUUCCAGCUCCAAUAGCGUAU